UACGGAGGGUGCAAGCGUUAAUCGGAAUUACUGGGCGUAAAGCGCACGUAGGCGGCUUAUUAAGUCGGUUGUGAAAGCCCCGGGCUUAACCUGGGAAUUGCUUCCGAUACUGGUAAGCUAGAGUACAAGAGAGGGUGGUGGAAUUUCUAGUGUAGCGGUGAAAUGCGUAGAUAUUAGAAGGAACAUCAGUGGCGAAGGCGACCGCCUGGCUUGAUACUGACGCUGAGGUGCGAAAGCGUGGGGAGCAAACAGG
rnacentral:rRNA from 1 species